UGAUAAAAACUUUAAAAUGGCUAUUUGAGAGAAUUGUCAUUUGUCUUAUUGAACUCCAUUAUAAUGGUUCAUUUAAUCUGGGAGAUUGGUUGUUUUUCAAAUUCUAUUUUUAAAAAAUUAUUUGCAUAAAUGAAUUCGAUUUCGAUAUAAAACACACACACUCAUAAAGUAUCUAUACUAUUAAAAAAAAAUCAUCGUACAAAUCAAUUUCAAAAAGUUGUUGCACAUAUUCAUUUUUAGCCCAACCUAUUACGUAUAAUUUAUACUAUUAAAACAAAAAACAUUUAUUUGAGGUACCCUUCUGUUUUAAAACUAUUUACGGACCCAUGAAAUUUCCUUAUUAAAAAUAUAUGCUUUUUAUUUAAAUCAUAACAAAAUCUAUUUAAUCCUAACGAAAUAUUUUUAAUCCAACAAUAUUUAGUUUUAAGUUUUUCUUAAAUAACUGAACAACAAUAGAAUCUCAUAUUUUAACUAGCUCUUAAUUUUAGGAUUGAUUUGUUUGUUGUAUAAUUGUUUUGAUCUAUUUUGCACUUAAAAAUAUUUCAGUAUAUUUUUAACAUCUGAAAUUAAAUUAUAAUUAAAAACUAUGUGAAAAAUAUUUUCAAUAAUUUAAAAUAUUUAUAUGUGUUGCAAUUAUCAUUUAAAAUGACCACAUAAAUGUUAAUUUUUAAUGAGGCUCUCUCUCUCUCAUCUUGUCCUUCUUAACCAAACUAUAUCUUUCAGAGGGAGGAUGAUUUUCGUUUUCUUUUUGAUGUAAAAUAAGUCUUCGAUCAAAAGAUCGAUUUAGUCUCUUCGCUUUGGCGAUCUUCCUUCGCGUUAGGCAAUUUUGGUGUGUGUUUCAGUUCGAUUCAGAGCUCUGUUCUUCAUGGAUUCAACCCUUCUCUGUUCGGAUUGAUUGAAUAAAGAUAAAGGAGUCAAUCUCUGCUCAUCCUAGAAUGGAUCCGAGAUCGGCGCAGGAGCAAAGUUUCCUUGACGGAAAGAAGACGGUGGCGAUGAAAUUACUUUCGUUGAUUGAAGGAAGAUCCAGCAGAGUCGGCAUCUCCAGAUGGUCUGAUGAAGAAUCUUCAUUAAAUCAUUCGAAGUUGAUUCUCUGUUUUAACAACCGGUCUAGCCAGAAGCUCCGAUUUCAAACAGCGGCUUUGGUGAAAGUUAGGAGUUCAUGGAGUACAAGUUAAUGGCAGUUGUGGCUCUGUGGUGGAGAAGAUGAUUAAAGAUGGUGGUUGGAAGUCAUAGAACCGCCGUCGACUUAGAUCUCCGAUUUGCAUGCUUUAAUUUCACCACGUCGCUUGCUCUGUCUUCUAAUGCUUACACGUGUAAAAUAAGUAUGUUUAUGUGUUGUACUCCUCUGCCUUCGGGCUUAUGAAAUGCAAUGUUGACAAAAAAAUGUUAAUUUUUAAUUUUAAACAAAAAAUAGAAAAAUUUUAUU